rnacentral:rRNA from 1 species
CGAAGGGGCGUAGCGUUGCUCGGAAUUACUGGGCGUAAAGCGCACGUAGGCGGCUUUCUAAGUCGGGGGUGGAAAUCCUGGAGCUCAACUCCAGAACUGCCUUCGAUACUGGAAAGCUCGAGUCCGGGAGAGGUGAGUGGAACUGCGAGUGUAGAGGUGAAAUUCGUAGAUAUUCGCAAGAACACCAGUGGCGAAGGCGGCUCACUGGCCCGGUACUGACGCUGAGGUGCGAAAGCGUGGGGGAGCAAACAGGAUU